AUACGGAGGGGACUAGCGUUGUUCGGAAUUACUGGGCGUAAAGGGCGCGUAGGCGGAUUAUCAAGUCAGAGGUGAAAGCCCUGGGCUCAACCUGGGAACUGCCUAUGAAACUGAUAGUCUUGAGGCCGGAAGAGGAUGGCGGAAUUCCCAGUGUAGAGGUGAAAUUCGUAGAUAUUGGGAAGAACACCAGUGGCGAAGGCGGCCAUCUGGUCCGGUUCUGACGCUGAGGCGCGAAAGCGUGGGGAGCAAACAGGAUUAGAAACCCGGGUAGUCC
rnacentral:rRNA from 1 species